rnacentral:misc_RNA from 1 species
UUGAUAUACGUCACCCGCUUUGCGAGAGGGAAGUGCAGUU